UCUGGAGAUCUGUUUUCUGGUUUUGGCUGUGCCAUAAACGAUUAUUUAUGAAAACUGCAAUAGUCAUCAUUUAAAGUUAUGGAACUGUGUCCGGAAUUGGUGGGUUCUUGGUCUCACUGACUUCAAGAAUGAAGCCGCGGACCCUUGCGCUGCUCACUCUUUGGGUCCACGCCACCUUUAUGAGCUGUAACACCGCAAAGGUCUGCAGCUUCACUCCUGAAGCCAGUGAGACCACGAACCCACUGGGAGGAAUGAACAACUCCAGACGUGCCGCCUUAAGAGCUGUAACACUCGUGAAGGUCUGCAGCUUCACUCCUGAAGCCAGUGAGACCACGAACCCACCAGAAGGAAGAAACUCUGAACACGACCGAACAUCAGCAGGAACAAACUCCGGACACACCAUCUUUAAGAACUGUAACACUCACCGUGAGGGUCCGCAGCUUCAUUCUUGAAGUCAGUGAGACCAAGAACCCACCAAUUCUGGACGCAGGCUGACAGUGAAGGGUUGAAAACAGAUAUCCCAUGUAAAUAGCCCUCAAAAGAAAGCAGUAGUGGCCAUUCUUAUAUAGCACAAAUUAGAAUUUAAGUCAAAAACUGUCCCAGGAGACAAAGUCAUUACAUAAUGAUAAAAGGGUGAAUUCAACAGGAAGAUAACAGCAAUUGUAAAUACAUAUGUACCUACUAUUAGACUACCUAAGUAUAUAGAACAAAUAUCAAAAUAUCUGAAAGGAGAAAUGGACAGCAAUAGUGUAAUGGUAGAAUAAUUCAGUACCCCACUUUCAAUAAAAAAUAGAAAAUCCAGAUAGAAAAUCAAUAACAAAAUAGUGGACUUUAAAUUGAUGUAAUAGCCAUAUACAGAAUUUUUCAAUUAACAAAAGAAAAAUAUGUAAUCUUCUCAAGUGCACACAGAACAUUCUCCAGGAUAGAUCACAUCACAUAUUUCCAGGAUAGGUCACAAAACAGGACUGAAUACAUUUAAGAAGAUUGAAAUCAUAUUUAGGAAGAAUGGAAUCAAAUAAUAUGUCAAACACUUCCAGUGAAUUUUUAAUUUUCAUUAUUGUAUCUUUAUCUUCAUUUCUGUUUGGUUCUUUGUUAUAUUUUCUAUUUGUUGAUAUUCUCAUUGUU
rnacentral:lncRNA from 1 species